CGCGUAGGCGGUCUUUUAAGUCAGGUGUGAAAGCCCGGGGCUCAACCCCGGAAGUGCACUUGAAGCUAAGAGACUUGAGUAUGGGAGAGGGAAGUGGAAUUCCUGGUGUAGCGGUGAAAUGCGUAGAUAUCAGGAGGAACAUCAGUGGCGAAGGCGACUUCCUGGACCAAUACUGACGCUGAGGCGCGAAGGCGUGGGGAGCAAACA
rnacentral:rRNA from 1 species